rnacentral:rRNA from 1 species
AACGAACGCUGGCGGCAGGCCUAACACAUGCAAGUCGAACGCCGUAGCAAUACGGAGUGGCAGACGGGUGAGUAACGCGUGGGAACAUACCCUCCGGUUCGGAAUAACUCAGGGAAACUUGAGCUAAUACCGGAUACGUCCAAGGUUUUAAUCGGCCUUGGAGAAAGAUUUAUCGCUGGAGGAUUGGCCCGCGUCUGAUUAGCUUGUUGGUGAGGUAAUGGCUCACCAAGGCGACGAUCAGUAGCUGGUCUGAGAGGAUGAUCAGCCACAUUGGGGACUGAGACACGGCCCAAACUCCUACGGGAGGCAGCAGUGGGGAAUAUUGGACAAUGGGCGAAAGCCUGAUCCAGCCAUGCCGCGUGAGUGAUGAAGGCCUUAGGGUUGUAAAGCUCUUUUACCCGGGAAGA